UCCACCCCCAAGCUCUUCAAUUUUUAUUUUUUUGAUGAUUUGGUGAAUGAAGAUGCGUUGAAUUUGAGAAUGGCUAGCUGUUAAUUUUUUUUUUUUUUUUGAAAAAGUUAAUAAUAUGGGUAUUUUUUAAUUUAAAUCCUUAUGAGUAGUGUGCUUUAUAUAUUAGUAUGCAUUUGUAAUUUCACUGUAAUUUUACAUUCUAAUUUUUUGAUGAUUUGAUGUAUGAAGAAUAUGGGUUGAAUUUGAUAAAUCGUAGCAGUUAUUUUUUGAAGCAGUUAACAAUAUUGAGCAUUUUUUGGGGGAAAAAAUAAGUUACAAACCUUCAAACCCUUAUAAGUUGUGCGCAUUAUAUAGUAGUAUAUAUAUUAGUUAGAUUUAAAAGGUUUAAUGCUAUCUUUUACUAGUAUUUUUAAUUUGAGAUUUUUAUGCUUGAUUUGUUAGGCUGAGAUCUGUCAUAUAUAUUUUGCUCAAUCAGCGGAGAGCUAUGAGUUGGCAGAAGAAGCCUGUUCACCUCUGCCUGGAUUCGUUGAAUUGCCUACUUGCCCUGUUUGUCUUGGCUUAUGGUAUUAAUCAUUUGGUGCUUCCACCAAGAGACUACCUCUUUGCUCCGUCACUGAGUGAUAUAUGCCAAGCUGUGGACUUCAUUCAUGGUUAGUGUUUUCAACAAAUUGCAAUGUAUGCUGUCUCAACUUUGGAGUAAUGAAAAAAUUGUGCCAACUAUUUCCAACAAAGCUCUGAAUCUUCAUGGAGGCAUGUGUUAUAUUCAUUUUCAAACAGUAACUUCGGUAAUCUGAUGCACAUUAAAUUUUGUCAUCAAUAGAUUACAAAGAUGGAAAUCCCACCAGUUAUGGAUUAAGAUGAUUAAGAAAAUCAAUUUAAAUACAUUAUUUUUCAAUUGUAAAUUUUUAUCCAAAAGCUUGAUCAGUUGGUCCUCAUCCUCCAUCUGAUUCACUUCUAUCGGGAUAUAGGGUGGUCAACAAAUGCACCUAGUUAAGAUUUAUUGCUUUGUGUGUUGGCCCUAUCAUUGAAUCAUCCCGAUAUAUAUGGAAGCAAUGUUUGUACAUACACAUUUGUGAAGAUGAUUUAACACCAAAAUGCAAGGAUGUUUCAUGCUA